CUUGGAACUCAGAAAACAUCCAUGCCCGGGGCCACCCUCUAUUCGUGACUGUCUCAGUAUAAUAGAUUCUGUAUGAGAUUCUAGUUGUGCGGAUAUAGUGUCAGAGAGAAGAGUGUGGUUCAGAAACCCACGAGGUAGGCUGAAGCAAGAACUGACAGGUCUGAUGCUUGGGGCCGAUGGCAGAGAAAGACAGACGGACUUGUGGGAGUGUUGGUAUAGAUGGCUAUAGAUUUCUCCUGAUUUAAUUGUCGCAAAAUGCCAAGUAGUAGGAAGUAGGUAGUUACUCAUGUUACAGACAACGAACCCAAUAUCUUUGGAGAGGUGAGCGGAUUUUGCAAGGAUUGUCCACAUGGACACCUGACUCAUUGUGCAUGCCCUGAGCAUCCCACCUGCUCGCCACUUACUCAGCAGCUGAGGAUGCUUGGAUGGUGAGGAACAGCGUGUUUUUCAAGAGAAUUGCAUUGCUUACCUGACUGAGGUGGCUUUAAACUGGAAUUCAGGGACAAGGAGCAAAAUACCAGACUAUUAAUUGUUAACUGUAGAGAACUAGGAUCCUGAUGCUAAAGGAAGAAUAGUACAGUAUUCCUCUUUCUUUUUUUUUAAUUAAAAUUUUAGAAAAAUGUUUAUUUAUUUAUUUUUAAGAGCGGGAAAGAGGGAGACACAGAAUCCGAAACAGGCACCAGGCUCUGAGCUGUCAGCACAGAGCCCGACGUGGGGCUCGAACUCACGGAACAUGAGAUCAUGACCUGAGCCGAAGUCGGACGCUUAACUGACUGAACCACCCAGGCGCCCCUCUUUCUUUUCCUUCUUUUUUUUUUUUAAAGCAGACCUCACACCCAGCAUGGAGCCCAAAACGGGGCUCAAACUCACGAAGCUGAGAUCAACACCUGAGCUGAGAUCAAGAGUCAGAUGUUUAACCAACUGUGUCACCCAGACCCCCCGUUGUGUACAGCUAUCCUAAGGAGGGACAAACAGGAGAAUGCCCAGCAUCAAGGCUCAUAUUCGCUCAACUCAGGCAAACAAACAAACACAUGAAAACACACAAUGGGAAUGACUGUUAAAGACAUUAAAAGAACUGCAUGGCAGAUCCCUAUAGGAAGUUUGAUAUCUGACUGAUAGAGUCCCACAAAAAGAAAGCAGAUAAAACUGAGGAGAGAUAAUUGACCAAGAAAUAAUAGAAACAAAUUCCUAGAGUCAACGAGUAACAUUUCUGUAUUGAAAGAACCUGCCACACUUCCGAUGCAGUCGACGCAAAGUGACUGAAAUCUGGACUUGGCACCAUGAAACCCAAAACUGAAGGAGCUCCUAAAAGCUCCUAAAAGAGGAGAGAAGCAAACAAAAGCAGAAGGUCCACAAGGAAACAAGAGACGGCCUGGCAUCUCCUCAUCAGCGACCUCGG
rnacentral:lncRNA from 1 species